rnacentral:antisense_RNA from 1 species
CUUCAGCGAGCCGAGCAGCAGCGGCCGGUCGGCGGGCCGGUCCUGGCCGUAGGUGGCGAGGAUGGCCUGCGCCUC